CCAAUAGCGUAUAUUAAAGUUGUUGCGGUUAAAAAGCUCGUAGUUGAAUUUCGGGAUCAGUACGCUGGUCGUGCCUUCGGUAUGUACUGGUGUUACUCGUUCCCACCUUCUGACGAACCGUCAUGUCAUUAAUUUGGUGUGGCGGGAAAUCAGGACUGUUACUUUGAAAAAAUUAGAGUGUUUAAAGCAGGCUCGCGCUUGAAUACAUUAGCAUGAAAUAAUGAAAUAGGACGUUCGAUCCUAUUUUGUUGGUUUCUAGGAUUGACGUAAUGAUUAAUAGGGAUAGUUGGGGGCAUUAGUAUUCAAUUGUCAGAGGUGAAAUUCUUGGAUUUAUUGAAGACUAACUACUGCGAAAGCAGUUGCCAAGGAUGUUUUCAUUAAUCAAGAACGAAAGUUAGGGGAUCGAAGACGAUCAGAUACCGUCGUAGUCUUAACCAUAAACUAUGCCGACUAGGGAUCGGAUGAUGUUAUUUUUAAUGACUCAUUCGGCGCCUUACG
rnacentral:misc_RNA from 1 species